UACGUAGGGGGCAAGCGUUGUCCGGAAUCAUUGGGCGUAAAGAGCGUGUAGGCGGCUCGAUAAGUCUGCUGUGAAAGUCCAGGGCUCAACCCUGGAAGGCCGGUGGAAACUGUCGGGCUAGAGUCCGGAAGAGGCGAGUGGAAUUCCCGGUGUAGCGGUGAAAUGCGCAGAUAUCAGGAGGAACACCGGUGGCGAAGGCGGGUCUCUGGGCCGAAAUUGACGCUGAGGAGCGAAAAGCGUGGGGGAGCAAACAGG
rnacentral:rRNA from 1 species